AGUUGAUCUCUUGAGGAAAUGUUUUGGGCUUGAACAAAGCAAACAACUCCCUGAAAAGGCCAAUUGUUGAAUCUAAGUGACAGAAACCAAGAGCAAGAAGGAAAAGAAACAACACCCGUAUUCUGUGCUUGAAAGUCUAGUGAUAGCUGCUUGCUGGAGAUCAAGCCUGUUGCUUUUGUCUUGGGGAAUUGACUCUGUCACCAUGAAGGUCAGAAGCAGUUGGACAUCGAUUGACAGUAACAGAUGAAAUUUUUCCUAUGUCUGAUUGACAGCUCACAGCUUGUACCUCUAGGAAGAUGACCUCAGAUGUCAGAGUCUGGCUUCACCCAGCCCAUCAGGUGCUGGGGAUACAGGACCAGGCCACCAUGCCUGGUUUUAUGCUGGGGAUUGGACCCAGAGCAUCAUACAUGUCAGGCAAGUACUUUACCAACUAAGUCACGUCCCCAACUCCAACACAAGCUAUUUCUUUGGGCUUGGUUUGUAGCGGAGAAAGGCUAAGAUGAGCUAGACGUCCAUCUGCAUAAAGGAUUAGUGAGAGAAAUACGUUUCUCUGCAGUUUUAAGCAGGAAUAAGGCCACUCUGUCUCAGGAAGGAGUGACUCUAGACACUAGGAUGAUGCCGAGCCAUGGAUAGCAGGUGACAUUGUAGUAGAAAAAAAAUGUGCUGUGUUUAUUGACUGGCCCAGAUAUAGACUUGAGAAGCAGGGCAUUCUUGUCUUUGGGAGGAAAACCUGUGAUUUGUGUGUCUUUGAGACAUAAUGCUUUUCAACACUAGAGGUGUUUA